rnacentral:rRNA from 1 species
AACGAACGGUGGCGGCGUGGAUAAGACAUGCAAGUCGAACGGGAUCUUUACGGUAGCAAUAUCGUGGAGGUUCAGUGGCGCAAGGGUGCGUAACACGUGGGCAAUCUGCCCGGGAGCGCGGGAUAGCUUGGCGAAAAGCCAAAUUAAUACCGCAUGUGGCUAUUGGAGGAUUCUCCGAGACGCUAAAGACGGCGCAAGCUGUCGCUCCUGGAUGAGCCCGCGGCCUAUCAGCUAGUUGGCGAGGUAAAAGCUCACCAAGGUGAUGACGGGUAGCUGGUCUGAGAGGACGACCAGCCACACUGGAACUGAGACACGGUCCAGACACCUACGGGUGCAGCAGUCGAGAAUUUUUCUCAAUGGGCGCAAGCCUGAA